UAGUACGAGAGGACCGGGAUGGACGCACCGCUGGUGUACCAGUUGUCUUGCCAAAGGCAUAGCUGGGUAGCUACGUGCGGACGGGAUAAGUGCUGAAAGCAUCUAAGCAUGAAGCCCCCCUCAAGAUGAGAUUUCCUUUUGCUUCGGCAAGUAAGAUCCCUGAAAGAUGAUCAGGUAGAUAGGUUCGAGGUGGAAGCGUGGCGACACGUGCAGCUGACGAAUACUAAUCGAUCGAGGACUUAACCCA
rfam:Bacillus sp. LL01 scaffold10.1, whole genome shotgun sequence.